rnacentral:rRNA from 1 species
AGCGAACGCUGGCGGCAGGCCUAACACAUGCAAGUCGAACGGACCCUUCGGGGUUAGUGGCGGACGGGUGAGUAACACGUGGGAACGUGCCUUUAGGUUCGGAAUAGCUCCUGGAAACGGGUGGUAAUGCCGAAUGUACCCUUCGGGGGAAAGAUUUAUCGCCUUUAGAGCGGCCCGCGUCUGAUUAGCUAGUUGGUGAGGUAAUGGCUCACCAAGGCGACGAUCAGUAGCUGGUCUGAGAGGAUGACCAGCCACAUUGGGACUGAGACACGGCCCAAACUCCUACGGGAGGCAGCAGUGGGGAAUCUUGCGCAAUGGGCGAAAGCCUGACGCAGCCAUGCCGCGUGGAUGAUGAAGGUCUUAGGAUUGUAAAAUCCUUUCACCGGUGAAGAUAAUGACUGUAGCCGGAGAAGAAGCCCCGGCUAACUUCGUGCCAGCCGCCGCAGUAAGAC